rnacentral:sRNA from 2 species
UCAUAGUCGUUGCUACGAGGGUUCGAGAUUCUCUUCCAUGGACCCUCGGAGUGGCGGGGAUGUUUUUGUAUAUUAUAAAAAUGUUGAUAUCAGCCACCCGUGGAAGGGCAGCAGAAUUCUCCUGGCCGAUGACAUGAUAUUACACUGCUAGCACCAAAUUACAUGGCUCUACAAAUUGUAAGUUAUAUGCAAACAAACCUUUGCUGCGCUGGCUCUUGUCAACUUGCCAAUGCCUGCAGACUAUCAAAAGGGUGGUAUUGGUGAUAAACAAUAUGUCGUUCCCACUCAGAGAUCCAUUGCCUUUCCACUUCUGCGAGGAUGGACA